rnacentral:rRNA from 1 species
AUUGAACGCUGGCGGCAGGCCUAACACAUGCAAGUCGAGCGAGCGGCGGACGGGUGAGUAAUGUAUGGGGACUGCCCGAUCGAGGGGGAUAACUACUGGAAACGGUGGCUAAUACCGCAUACUCUCGGAUAACCCAUAUGGGAUUAGCUAGUAGGUGGGGUAAAGGCUCACCUGGGCUACGAUCUCUAGCUAGUCCGAGAGGAGGAUCAGCAACACUGGGACUGGGAACCGGCCCAGACUCCUACGGAGGCAGCAGGGGGGAAUAUUGCACAAUGGGCGCAAGCCGGAUGCAGCCAUGCCGCGUGUAGGAAGAAGGCCUUAGGGUUGUAAAGUACGUUCAUCGGGGAGGCGUUACCCGAAUAAGAAGCACCGGCUAACUCCGUGCCAGCCGCCGCGGUAAUAC